UGUGUGUAACUGUAACUGGCAUAGAGUUGUCUGCUGGUCGAAAAGUGGUGAAAUAUUGAUAACCAAAAGUGCUAAAAAGUGUGAUUAAAGGUGGCUUCAAUUUUGUAUAAAGAAACGCAUUUAAAAGCCAUUUAUUAUAGGGAAAUCGAGUGUUUAAUAUUGAUUCCAAGGCUUUGGCUCAAAGUAAUCGGUGAUCUUAGCUUUCUUCUUCUUGCUCCCCUCCCUUUUCUCUUGCUCUUCUGAAAGCGACCUCUGUCGUUCGUUUUUCGUACUACCCACUUCAAAGACAUUGCGUUCGCUGCUGCCAUUUAUUACUUAUUCACAAUUAAAUCAGUGGCGAUCGGCCAGUUGCAAGUGCAAGUGCAAAGACAAAUCGGGCAAAGACAAGGUUGGCCGCCAAAAGCCGUCUUGGCUUUAAAUCAAAACAAGUGCAGCAAAGCCAAAAGCAAGUAAGAAAACACCAACAACAUGGCACAGCGAACUCAUAAAACGGAAAUUCCUGUGCACCGACCUGGGCAGAGGGACAAGUGUAAUGGACACGCUCGGUUCCCAUCCACGGCAUGGAGAUCGCGAUGAACUUGAAGUUUCGCACUCGCUUGAUUGAGUUGUUCUUCUUCUUGCACUCUGGUCAGCUGGCAUGGCUCAGCAGAUCGGCCUAGCUGUACUUUAUAUAUAACGAUUCGACCAUGGGAACUACUGGCCUAGCCGCUCCUCAUCAUCUUCCUCGUCAUCCGCGGCCUGGCCGGCGAAAUGUGACAGACAGCAUCCAUUACCCUAACGAUAAUUGGCCGGGCUAUGCGAUUCCCAGGUCUCUCCAUUGCCAGUUUAGCCAGCAACGGAUUAUGGCUGUCCCCUACAUCGUUUUGGAUACUGACGUCAAGUGCAGUAUGCUGAUAAGGCUGGAGAGUCCGAAGACAGGAGACCGAAGCCAGGAGAACGGAGAUCCAGACGGAUUUUAUGGCCAAAAUAAAUGACGAACAGCGAAAACGGCAGAAGGCAAACGGCAAACGGCAAACGGCAAACGGCAACGAAAGGAACAGGCUAAUAAAAAGCCAUUAAAGCCAAGUUCAGGCAGGUCAUGAUUAUAUUUAUUAGCUGACAUAACAUCUACUUCUUAACCUCCGGUUAAGCCCAAUGUAAAUAGCAUACAGGAUGAGGAUCUAAACUGCUCUGGAAAAACCAUUCAAAAUUCCUGGUUUACGGAUUCCACACCCAACUCAGUACCUGUUAAGCAGUUUCAAAAAGGAAUUUGAAUAAAUGGAUUUCACAAGGGACCUUUUUAUAUGGACUGAGCAUUUAUUUAUACUCUGAAGGAGCAGAUUUCUGCAUUUAAGGAUCUAUCUAUUAACAAUUAAAGAGACUGCCUGGAAGUAGGAGUGCGGCUCGCUGCGGAUGCCGUGGCUUAUGGCGUGCA